GGGGAAACCCAGUGCAAUCCGUUGCACUAUCGUUAACUGAAUACAUAGGUUAACGAGGCGAACCGGGGGAACUGAAACAUCUAAGUACCCCGAGGAAAAGAAAUCAACCGAGAUUCCCCCAGUAGCGGCGAGCGAACGGGGAGCAGCCCGGAGUCUGAAUCAGCUUGUGUGUUAGUGGAACGGUCUGGAAAGUCCGACGGUACAGGGUGAUAGUCCCGUACACGAAAGCACACAUGCUGUGAACUCGAAGAGUAGGGCGGGACACGUGGUAUCCUGUCUGAAUAUGGGGGGACCAUCCUCCAAGGCUAAAUACUCCUGACUGACCGAUAGUGAACCAGUACCGUGAGGGAAAGGCGAAAAGAACCCCGGCGAGGGGAGUGAAAAAGAACCUGAAACCGUGUACGUACAAGCAGUGGGAGCCUCUUUAUGGGGUGACUGCGUACCUUUUGUAUAAUGGGUCAGCGACUUAUAUUCUGUAGCAAGGUUAACCGUAUAGGGGAGCCGAAGGGAAACCGAGUCUUAACUGGGCGUUAAGUUGCAGGGUAUAGACCCGAAACCCGGUGAUCUAGCCAUGGGCAGGUUGAAGGUUGGGUAACACUAACUGGAGGACCGAACCGACUAAUGUUGAAAAAUUAGCGGAUGACCUGUGGCUGGGGGUGAAAGGCCAAUCAAACCGGGAGAUAGCUGGUUCUCCCCGAAAGCUAUUUAGGUAGCGCCUCGUGAACUCAUCUUCGGGGGUAGAGCACUGUUUCGGCUAGGGGGCCAUCCCGGCUUACCAACCCGAUGCAAACUACGAAUACCGAAGAAUGUUAUCACGGGAGACACACGGCGGGUGCUAACGUCCGUCGUGAAGAGGGAAACAACCCAGACCGCCAGCUAAGGUCCCAAAGUCAUGGUUAAGUGGGAAACGAUGUGGGAAGGCACAGACAGCCAGGAUGUUGGCUUAGAAGCAGCCAUCAUUUAAAGAAAGCGUAAUAGCUCACUGGUCGAGUCGGCCUGCGCGGAAGAUGUAACGGGGCUAAACCAUG
rnacentral:rRNA from 1 species